rnacentral:rRNA from 1 species
AGAGUUUGAUCAUGGCUCAGGACGAACGCUGGCGGCGCGCCUAAUGCAUGCAAGUCGAACGAGGGCUGUCUUCGGACAGACCUAGUGGCAGACGGCUGAGUAACGCGUGAGUGACCUGCCCUUGAGAGGGGGAUAACAUCGGGAAACCGAUGCUAAUACCCCGUACGCUCACCAGUGUAAAGGCUGGUGAGGAAAUGAGUUUCGCUCGAGGAGGGGCUCGCGUCCUAUCAGGUAGCUGGUGAGGUAACGGCUCACCAAGGCGACGAUGUCUAGGGGUUCUGAGAGGAUUAACCCCCACACUGGUACUGAGACACGGACCAGACUCCUACGGGAGGCAGCAGUAAGGAAUAUUGGUCAAUGGACGCAAGUCUGAACCAGCCAUGCCGCGUGCAGGAUGAAGGCCCUAUGGGUUGUAAACUGCUUUUGUACGGGAAAAAACCCUUCGACGUGUCGGAGGCUGAUGGUACCGUAAGAAUAAGGAUCGGCUAACUCCGUGCCAGCAGCCGCGGUAAUACGGAGGAUCCGAGCGUUAUCCGGAUUCAUUGGGUUUAAAGGGUGCGUAGGCGGGAUAGUAAGUCAGUGGUGAAAGCCUGCAGCUUAACUGCAGAACUGCCAUUGAUACUGCUAACCUAGAGUACAGCUGAUGUGGGCGGAAUGUGUCGUGUAGCGGUGAAAUGCUUAGAUAUGACACAGAACACCAAUUGCGAAGGCAGCUCACAAAACUGUAACUGACGCUGAGGCACGAAAGUGUGGGGAUCGAACAGGAUUAGAUACCCUGGUAGUCCACACUGUAAACGAUGAUCACUCGAUGUUGGCGAUAUACAGUCAGCGUCCAAGCGAAAGCGAUAAGUGAUCCACCUGGGGAGUACGGUCGCAAGAUUGAAACUCAAAGGAAUUGACGG